GACGAACGCUGGCGGCGUGCUUAACACAUGCAAGUCGAACGGAAAGGCCCUGCUUUUGUGGGGUGCUCGAGUGGCGAACGGGUGAGUAACACGUGAGUAACCUGCCCUUGACUUUGGGAUAACUUCAGGAAACUGGGGCUAAUCCCGGAUCGGAGCUCCUGCUGCAUGGUGGGGGUUGGAAAGUUUCGGCGGUUGGGGAUGGACUCGCGGCUUAUCAGCUUGUUGGUGGGGUAGUGGCUUACCAAGGCUUUGCCGGGUAGCCGGCCUGAGAGGGUGACCGGGCACAUGGGUACUGAGAGACGGCCCAGACUCCUACGGGGGGCAGCAGUGGGGAAUAUUGCACAAUGGUCGGAAGCCUGAUGCAGCAACGCCGCGGGCGGGGUGACGGCCUGCGGGUUGUAAACCGCUUUCGCCUGUGACGAAGCGGGAGUGACGGUAAUGGGUAAAGAAGCACCGGCUAACUACGUG
rnacentral:rRNA from 1 species